rnacentral:rRNA from 1 species
AACGAACGCUGGCGGCAUGCCUAACACAUGCAAGUCGAACGAGACCUUCGUGACUAGUGGCGCACGGGUGCGUAACGCGUGGGAACCUGCCCUUAGGUUCGGAAUAACUCCCCGAAAGGGGUGCUAAUACCGGAUAACUUAUUCGGACCAAAGAUUUAUCGCCUUUGGAUGGGCCCGCGUUGGAUUAGCCUGUUGGUAGUGUAAAAGCCUACCAAGGAGACGAUACAUAGCUGGUCUGAGAGGAUGAUCAGCCACACUGGGUAUGAGACACGGCCCAGACUCCUACGGGAGGCAGGAGUGGGGGAUAUUGGACUAUGGGCGAAAGCCUGAACGAGCAAUGCCGCGUGAGUGAUGAUGGCGUGAGGGUAGUAAAGCUCGUUUACCCGGGAUGAUAAUGACGGUACCGGGAAAAUAAGCUCCGGCUAACUCCGUG